AACGAACGCUGGCGGCAUGCCUAACACAUGCAAGUCGAACGAUUGCCUUCGGGUUAUGGUGGCGCACGGGUGCGUAACGCGUGGGAAUCUGCCCUUAGGUUCGGAAUAACAGCUGGAAACGGCUGCUAAUACCGGAGGAUAUCGCCAGAUCAAAGAUUUAUCGCCUUAGGAUGGGCGCGCGUUGGAUUAGGUAGUGGGUGGGGUAAAGGCCUACCAAGCCGAGGAUUCAUAGCUGGUCUGAGAGGAGGCUCAGCCACAACGGGGCUGAGACACGGACCAGGCUGCUACGGAGGGGAGCAGAGGGGAAUAUUGGAGGAUGGGCGCUAGCCUGGUCCCGCAAUGCCGGGGGAGUGAGGAAGGGCCUAGGGUUGUAAAGCUCUUUUAGCCGGGAAGAGAAUGACGGUACCGGGAGAAUAAGCCCCGGCUAACUCCGUG
rnacentral:rRNA from 1 species